rnacentral:tRNA from 1 species
GAAAAAUUUAGUUAAAUUAAUAACGUUAGUUUGUCAAACUAAAAUUAUUUUAAAAAAUAAUUUUU